UGAGCUUGAUCCUGGCUCAGGAUGAACGCUAGCGGCAGGCUUAACACAUGCAAGUCGAGGGGUAUAGUUCUUCGGAACUAGAGACCGGCGCACGGGUGCGUAACGCGUAUGCAAUCUACCUUUUACAGAGGGAUAGCCCAGAGAAAUUUGGAUUAAUACCUCAUAGUAUAUAGCCCUGGCAUCAGGAUUAUAUUAAAGUCACAACGGUAAAAGAUGAGCAUGCGUCCCAUUAGCUAGUUGGUAAGGUAACGGCUUACCAAGGCUACGAUGGGUAGGGGUCCUGAGAGGGAGAUCCCCCACACUGGUACUGAGACACGGACCAGACUCCUACGGGAGGCAGCAGUGAGGAAUAUUGGACAAUGGGCGCAAGCCUGAUCCAGCCAUGCCGCGUGCAGGAUGACGGUCCUAUGGAUUGUAAACUGCUUUUAUACGAGAAGAAACAUUCCGACGUGUCGGAACUGACGGUAUCG
rnacentral:rRNA from 1 species